rnacentral:rRNA from 1 species
UGCAGUCGAGGGGUACAUGGGUAGCAAUACCUGAUGACGACCGGCAAACGGGUGCGGAACACGUACGCAACCUUCCCAUAACUGGUGAAUAGCCUUUCGAAAGAGAGAUUAAUACACCGUAACAUAAUGAAGAGGCAUCUCUUUAUUAUUAUAGGCCGCAAGGUCGGUUUUGGAUGGGCGUGCGCCUGAUUAGGUAGUUGGCGGGGUAACGGCCCACCAAGCCUGCGAUCAGUAACUGGUGUGAGAGCACGACCAGUCACACGGGCACUGAGACACGGGCCCGACUCCUACGGGAGGCAGCAGUAAGGAAUAUUGGUCAAUGGACGAAAGUCUGAACCAGCCAUGCCGCGUGAAGGAUGAAGGCCCUCUGGGUUGUAAACUUCUUUUAUCUGGGACGAAAAAAGCUCAUUCUUGAGCACUUGACGGUACCAGAGGAAUAAGCACCGGCUAACUCCGUGCCAGCAGCCGCGGUAAUACGGAGGGUGCAAGCGUUAUCCGGAUUUACUGGGUUUAAAGGGUGCGUAGGUGGGCAGGUAAGUCAGCGGUGAAAUCUCCGAGCUUAACUCGGAAACUGCCAUUGAUACUAUCUGUCUUGAAUAUCCUGGAGGUGAGCGGAAUAUGUCAUGUAGCGGUGAAAUGCUUAGAUAUGACAUAGAACACCAAUUGCGAAGGCAGCUCACUACGGGAUUAUUGACACUGAGGCACGAAAGCGUGGGGAUCAAACAGGAUUAGAUACCCUGGUAGUCCACGCCCUAAACGAUGGAUACUCGACAUACGCGAUACACUGUGUGUGUCUGAGCGAAAGCAUUAAGUAUCCCACCU